UUGGUCUCACAGAUCAGCUCUAUUCAGUAUGGAAAAGGACUACACAGAAACUUGAAUAACAUGAGGCAAGAAUCAAUGGGGACCAUCUUGGAUAAUGGUUAUUACCAAGAAGAUAAACACAAUAAUAAAUAGAAUAUUUAAGUGAUGACCAGUGCUCCAAUAACCAUGUUGGAAUAUGAAGCAACCUUGAAGAUGAAAGCUAUGCACUUAGAAUGAGGAGUAGAAACUUAAACACUAAGGACCAAGAAACAGCAACACUAAUCCUGAACUCUAUUUCAGGACUUCUUUUAAAUGAAAAAAAAAAAAAAUAAUAAUCUUCCAUACAUUUAGCCAUUAUGGAAGCUGAGAAGUUCAAGGUCGAGGGGCCACAUCUGGAGAGAGUCUUCUUGCUGGUGGGGACUCUGCAGAGUCUGGAGGCGGAGCAGGGCAUCAUACAAAAAGAGAUGGAAAAUCUCAAGAAGUUAUAGCAUCAAGAAAUUCUUAUCUUGAAGAGGCAGAAGAGUUGCAGGGGCUUCAAUUACCUUAAUUUGACCCAUUCAGCUCAGUUUAACUGAGAUGCACAUUUACGUCAGUGGACUUGGAGUAGAGAUUGCCCUAUAACAUGAGUGGGCCUCAUCCAAUCACUUGAAGUCCUGAAUAGAACAAAGAGUGACCUCCCCUGAGCAAGAGGGAAUUCUGCAGCAGACUACCUUUGGACUGGAAUUGCAGCAUUGGCCCUCCCAGGGUCUCCGGUCUGCCAGCCCACCCAGUAGAUUUUGACCUUGCCAACCUCUAUUAUUGCAU
rnacentral:lncRNA from 1 species